AAAUGUAAAGCGUUAUGUGGAUCGAACAUUAGUAGAGAAGCGUGUGAGCCAGCUGCCAAGAAAAGCCGCUAUUGCUUCAUAAGUACCCGUACCGUAAACCGACACAGGUGGAUGAGGAGAGAAUCCUAAGGCCGGCGGGAGAAGUGUUGUUAAGGAACUCGGCAAAAUGACUCCGUAACUUCGGGAGAAGGAGUGCCACAGAGAUGUGGCCGCAGAGAAAUGGCCCAAGCAACUGUUUAGCAAAAACACAGGUCUAUGCAAAACCGAAAGGUGAGGUAUAUGGGCUGACGCCUGCCCGGUGCUGGAAGGUUAAGAGGAGAGGUUAGAGCAAUCGAAGCUUUGAAUUUAAGCCCCAGUAAACGGCGGCCGUAGCAAUAACAGUCCUAAGGUAGCGAAAUUCCUUGUCGGGUAAGUUCCGACCCGCACGAAAGGCGUAAUGAUUUGGGCACUGUCUCAACAACACACCCGGUGAAAUUGAAAUACCAGUGAAGAUGCUGGUUACCUGCGCCAGGACGGAAAGACCCCAUGGAGCUUUACUCCAGUUUGAUACUGGGAUUCGGUACUGUCUGUACAGGAUAGGUGGGAGGCUAGGAAAUGGUGACGCCAGUUGCCAUGGAGCCAACCUUGGGAUACCACCCUUACAGUACUGGGUUUCUAACCUGCAGCCGUAACCCGGCUGGGGGACAAUGUCUGACGGGGAGUUUGACUGGGGCGGUCGCCUCCGAAAGAGUAUCGGAGGCGCUCAAAGGUUCCCUCAGAACGGUUGGAAACCGUUCGAAGAGUGCAAAGGCAGAAGGGAGCUUGACUGCGACACCGACGGGUGGAGCAGAUACGAAAGUAGGACUUAGUGAUCCGGUGGUAUAAAGUGGGAUUGCCAUCGCUCAACGGAUAAAAGCUACCCUGGGAUAACAGGCUUAUCACUCCCAAGAGUUCACAUCGACGGAGUGGUUUGGCACCUCGAUGUCGGCUCAUCGCAUCCUGGAGCUGUAGCAGGUUCCAAGGGUUGGGCUGUUCGCCCAUUAAAGCGGUACGCGAGCUGGGUUCAGAACGUCGUGAGACAGUUCGGUCCCUAUCCGGCGUGGGCGUAGGAUAUUUGAGAGGAGCUGUCCUUAGUACGAGAGGACCGGGAUGGACAAACCUCUGGUGUAUCUGUUGUUUUACCAAAGGCAUGGCAGAGUAGCCAAGUUUGGCAGGGAUAAACGCUGAAGGCAUCUAAGCGUGAAGCCCCCCUCAAGAUAAGAUAUCCCAUCUUCGGAGUAAGACCCCUUGAAGACUACAAGGUUGAUAGGCUUUGUGUGUAAGUGCGGUAACGCACUCAGCUGAGAAGUACUAAUAGGUCGAGGACUUACC
rnacentral:rRNA from 1 species